rnacentral:sRNA from 1 species
GUUUUGAGCUGACGCGUCGCGGCUUCGACGAGGCGCUGCUCGCUGAAGCCGAGACCGGC